rnacentral:rRNA from 1 species
GAUGAACGCUGGCGGCGUGCCUAAUACAUGCAAGUCGAACGAAGUCUUUUGGAAAAGCUUGCUUUUCCGGCUGACUUAGUGGCGGACGGGUGAGUAACACGUGAGCAACCUGCCUUAAAGAGGGGGAUAACGUCUGGAAACGGACGCUAAUACCGCAUAACGUACCAUGGGGGUAUCCCUGAGGUACCAAAGGAGAAAUCCGCUUUGAGAUGGGCUCGCGGCCGAUUAGGUAGUUGGUGGGGUAAAGGCCCACCAAGCCGACGAUCGGUAGCCGGACUGAGAGGUUGAUCGGCCACAUUGGGACUGAGACACGGCCCAGACUCCUACGGGAGGCAGCAGUGGGGGAUAUUGCACAAUGGGGGAAACCCUGAUGCAGCGACGCCGCGUGGGUGAAGAAGUAUUUCGGUAUGUAAAGCUCUAUCAGCAGGGAAGAAAAUGACGGUACCUGACUAAGAAGCCCCGGCUAACUACGUGCCAGCAGCCGCGGUAAUAC